UGUAGGUGGCCUGGUCUACUCAGCUCCGUUGUGACUGCUCCUCCUCCAACUGCUACUGCUACUGCGUCUGCUGCUGCUGUCGCUGCUGCAUCUGCAACCUGCAACACUCACACCCACGCACCGCCACGGACACCACGUCGCGUUCAGUCUUCGUCCUGCAGCAUAACGUCAUGUCGCGUAGUGUUCGUCCCAAAAAAAAAAAUAGACCCAGACUGUAAGGUGACUGAACCGAUCCUUAACCCAUCAUCACCAUCCUCUUCCCCACUCAAGUGCCGUGGAUGUGUGUCAAUUAAAAAGUCUCGUCUCAGUGAGUCGCGUGUUUAAUUUGCGGCACGUUCCCCACACACACACUCACUAUCAAUUUAAUUAAAACGCGACAGACAGACCCAUAAAUCGCUCGACUAACCCACCAACAAACCACCGAAUUCAACUCAAAAUUAAACACAAUAUUGCGGCCAAACGCAAACCAAAAAGACCAGAGCAAUCCCCAGAUUAAAAGAGAUAGAGGGAUUGAUGGAGAGAGAUAGGAAUAGAGAUAGAGGAAGACCAAACCUAGCCCCGAAAAUCGAUAAAAUGAAGCGCUUUAACAUUGCGGUCGACUGAAUCUACAUCGAAUUUUCAAUUUGCAGGGGAGCCACAUGUUAACUGCCAACCACUGCCGGGCAAAAAUUCCCAUGACAUGGUCAACAAGUUUAUGAAGGUAACACAAAAAAAAAUACCUACACGGUGGUCCAAAAAUGAAAACCACUAGAAAAACUUCAUCUACAACUGCCAACAUCAGAGAGAGAAGGGAAAAAGCAAACUUUGCUACCCACUUGAUAUGUUAAAUCUGCGUGAAUUUAUCAACUUUACUAAUUAACAGCGUUUCCCCUGCAGCCCAGAGGGCCAAAUACUGUUUACAUUUGCAACAUGAGAAAUUGUUGGGCCAACAGCAGCAACACACGGGGCCAAAACUUGUUAACGGUAUCACUUAUGUAAGUUCAUUAGCAGCAGAGCCCAGCCAUCAAUCAAAUCAGCAAACUGGCCAACUGACUUGGCCAACAUCGGUUCGGUUAGUUUGCGUUCGCGUUCCUCGACUGGAAGUGAAAUGAAAAUUAGAAUGAACACACACACACACACACACGUUCACGGAGAUCGACUGAUGGAGUGACAGGUGAGUAUAUGGGUGCGUGUGUGUGUGUGUGGAGCAGGAUUCCAGGCUCCGUGUUCGGGGUUCGGUUGUCCUUGUUCCGGUACGGAUCCUUGGACAAUGCCCGAGGGCAACGCGUUGUCACGUGAGCAGCGAGCAGGGCAAUCAACGAAUCAGGCAACCAAUCAAGCGGCGUGUGACAUGCAACUGAAGCAUCUACGUGACCUCGAUGAACAGAGAAUCGCAGUCCAAUCCAAGCCCACCCGGGGCAACCACAGUGGUGCCAUCACCUCCUGAUUUAUCUUUACUUUGCAUUUAAACUUUUUGGUUAGACUUGCUCUUGACAACAUCUUCUACAUCUCUUGAUUAGCCUUGGCUAAUAAAUAAUAAAAUAUAUACAUUCCCUGAUAAGUUUUUCCACCGGUGGUCCAUUAACUACCAAGAAAUUUUAAAUAAUAAAAUUAAAAACUAUACCAAAGCAUAGAAAUUGCUAGUUAGCAAUCAAGCUUUAUAAUUAAAAAUAAA